UACGUAGGGUGCAAGCGUUGUCCGGAUUUAUUGGGCGUAAAGAGCUCGUAGGCGGUCUGUCGCGUCGGAUGUGAAAACCCAGGGCUCAACCCUGGGCCUGCAUUCGAUACGGGCAGACUAGAGUGUGGCAGGGGAGACUGGAAUUCCUGGUGUAGCGGUGAAAUGCGCAGAUAUCAGGAGGAACACCGGUGGCGAAGGCGGCUCACUGGCUCAUUACUGACGCUCAGGCGCGACAGCGUGGGGAUCAAACAGG
rnacentral:rRNA from 1 species